CCCUUAGAUGUCCUGGGCCGCACGCGCAAUACAAUGUAAAGUUCAGAAAGCAUAUCCUGUUCCGGAAGGCAAUGGGUAAUCUUUUCAAUAUUUUACGUGUUAGGGAUCGAUCUUUGCAAUUAUAGAUCUUGAACGAGGAAUACCUAGUAAGUGCAGCUCAUCAGGCUGUACUGAUUACGUCCCUGCCCUUUGUACACACCGCCCGUCGCUCCUACCGAUUUCGAGUGGUCCGGUGAAUCUUUUGGAAUUAGAGUGCAAACUCAAACUAAGAUCGAUAAACCUUAUCACUUAGAGGAAGGAGAAGUCGUAACA
rnacentral:rRNA from 1 species